UUUCCGUAGGUGAACCUGCGGAAGGAUCGUUACAGAGUUCAUGCACGAAAGGGUAGACCUCCCCCCUUUCUGUUUUGUUACUUUGUUGCCUUGUCGAGCGCAGGCUCUACAGAGAUUACCAAAACUCUUUUUAUUACUGUCUUCUGAGUACUAGAUAAUAGUGAAAACUUUCAACAACGGAUCUCUUGGUUCUG
rnacentral:misc_RNA from 1 species